GUGGGGUGCUCGAGUCAGAGAGCGACCCCGAGACAAAGACCGAUACUGUAUCAGAUACUGCUACGGGCUGAAUCUGAAAGGACUCCGAGGAGCAAGUUCUGUCUGUGAGCCUUUUCCUGCUGAAGGGACAGAAGCUGGCUCUAUACAUAGGCCCCCUCCCUCAAGCUGGGGCAUUGGUGAGGUUUUCCUGUGGCUAGAGAAAGCCACAGCUACCUUGCCCGAAACCGGAACUCAAUUUCCUGAUGCUGUGUCUGUGGGCACAAAGGAGGAGAGGGACCAGCAAGGCUGAGGGUUCCGAGUGGAACAAAGACCCCGAUUCUUCCCCUGCUUUGGUGUGACAAAUCAGGUGGGACCAUGGAGGGUAUCAGUGCUGCCUCUGAUAGCUCAGGGUAAAAGAUAUUAAAAUACAUUAAUGACUAAA